AUUUACAAUUUUCCUAAGUUGUCUCAAAAUUCAUAAUAAAAGAAAUAGAAAAUACAAUUGUCAAAAAGUUUUAAUUUAAAAAAAAUUUAAAAUAAUCUAAAAUUCAAAAAGGAAAUUCCGCAUGCAAGAUAUGAACUAGAUGAAUAAAAGCAAUCUCUAAGAUUUUUAUUUGGAAGAAUAACCACCAGUCAGUUCCAUAACUCCGCGGAACAAAAUGAUUUGAUUUAUGCUUAAACAUCGUUGGAAAAUAUUUCUAAAUUGAGUGCUGUGUUGCCUGAGUUUGUUAAAAAGAAAUUUAUGGAUAAAGUGUGUGAGCCUGGCUUGCUAGUGCAGAAGCCAGCAAUCUACCAAAAGCGACACGUCAUCGAUCUCCAUAAUACAACAGCAACACUAUAUAACCUUCCAAGAAAGAAAGUAACAUCGAUUCAUAAACAUUACUCUUUAGCAACAUUAAUUUUCAUGUUCCUGAAGUGGAGACAUCCAAGGAAAAACCAAUUGCUGGAGUGACGGGAUUAACAGGAGGCAAAGAACCUACAGCGCAGGAUUGGCUUAAAUUAUGAAACUUUUCUAUGUUAAGAAAAUUUCAAUGAACGGCAGCAAAGGUUCGUAUUCAUCUGCCUUGGUUAAAUCGUGGUAGCAAAGACGAAGUCUUUAAAGAGAGAAUUCACCAAGUACCAUGUAAUAGAGAGAAGGAACAUGGACCAGUGGUCUGGGGGAAGUGGUACAAGAUUAAUAUAUAAUGUAGUUAAUCAGUGAAUAUAUAUUUUCGAUUAUUAUAUAGAAUAUUACACAGUACAUUAUAAAGAUAAACUUAAAAUUUUAAUUAUUGUCCAUUGUUUCAAACUGUAUAUUUUGACGAAAUAAAUUGAAUAUAUUUUUUUAUAAAAACCAAA